GAAUUUUUUUUUUUUCUAGUUCUUUUUUUUUUGUUGUUGUCCUUAGUUGUGGCAAUGAAUAUAAUUACAAUACUUGUAAUUCUAAGAUUAUGGAUUUGGAGUUAUACCCUGUUGCUUGAAUUUUCUGUUGAUAAGGAAUUCCUCUCCAAAAAUUCCAUGCCUUUGUCUGAAUGGAAGUUCCACACAGAUUUGAAUUGAUAGCAGUGUCAGAAAUGAUUUGUCUUUUGACUUGUGGAUAGAUUGAUAUGGAUUUUGAUUUUCAGAUGAGCUUUGUAUUUUUGUUUUGGGUUGAUGGGUAGUUACUGCAUGCUAAACGCUUUUUGCUUUGAAAAAUCAGUUCUUUGUAGGUAUCUCGAAAAUUCAGUUUUUCUUUUUCCCUGAAAAAAUUGAUUAAGUUCUAGAAUUCCAUAAGAUAUUCCCAGAUUGCACCUUAAUUUCUUAUGCUUACAUUUUGGUGCUGCUGCUUUCUCUGUGGCAAUUCCACACUACAAUCUCAAUGCUGUGCCAAUAAGAUGUGAUUAUAAUUUCUCAUGAUUCCAUGUCCCUUUGCCUUCUCAGGCUUCUGCACAGUCAGAUCCUAAGAGCAGAUCGUGUCUUUGGACUUUCUUCUUUGCAGCUUCUUUGAUUUGUAGUGCUUACUUCAUUGGUAGUUCAUCCUUUGGAAGUGAAUAUAAAGAUAGAUUGACAAGAUGGCAAGUCAGUGAGACAAUGCAGAGUACAACAUCCAACAAAUGCAAGGAUCAUUGCAGGCCUUCUGGAAGUGAGGCAUUGCCCCAAGGAAUUGUUAGAAAAACAUCAGACUUUGAAAUGCGGCCUUUAUGGAAAAAUUCCAUGAAAGAUGUGAGUGUAGUCAUCAUCACAAUACAUAAUCUGUGAUGAAAGGAACUUGAGUGCAUGAGAUAAUCUUUCAGAUGUAUAUGAUAAUUUCAAGUUUAUAGCAAUUGCUAUUGGGUCCAUAUUAUUGAAGGAUCAUGCAUUUUGUUCCUUCAAUGUGAACCAUGGCUGGUAUAAUACUGGUACUACUGUUGGGUUGCAUCAUACACUAGUUGUAUCAUGUCAUCAACCUCAUCAAGAAAUAUUUUGUGAGGCGAUUUUUUUACCGACAAGUAAUUCCGUGAAACAAAAGGAGCCUAGAACUCCAUUAUGACUUAUGCAUGACUAAAAGCAUAGUGAUAAUGUUUUGAUUGGGAAUUUCUGCUGGUCAUGUAUUUUAAGACUGGAUCUGGUGCUUUACAUCUGUAUGAAUUCAAGUAAAUAGGGGUUGGUAUCUGAUAAGUUUGAAGAGGAUGUAAAUCUUGAAUUUAAGAAGAAGCAAUAAUACAUUCACUAUUAUUAUUAAAAUUCCCUCUCCAUUUCUUAUAUUGUUUUGUUUGAGUGUCAGAACAAGCCAAAGCCUUCAAUGAACUUAUUAGCACUUGCAGUUGGAAUUAAGCAAAAAGAACAAGUGGACCAAAUUAUUAAGAAGGUGGUUGUCAAUCCUCACCUGCUUUUUGGCUUUGAAAAAUUUUCUCACCAUAUUUGUCUGAAAUUUUUUGUCUUCUUGCAGUUUCCUCUAAGUGAAUUCAUUGUGAUGCUUUUUCAUUAUGAUGGUUUUGUGGAUAAAUGGAGGGAUUUGCCAUGGAGUGAUCAUGUCAUCCAUGUGUCUGCAGUGAAUCAAACAAAAUGGUGGUUUGCAAAACGAUUUCUGCAUCCAGACAUAGUUGCUGAGUACGACUACAUAUUUCUUUGGGAUGAAGACCUUGGAGUUGAGAAUUUUAAUCCAAGACGAUAUCUGUCAAUUGUUAAGGAUGAGAGACUUGAAAUAUCACAGCCAGCUCUUGAUCCUGCCAAGUCAGCAGUGUCUCAUCCAAUUACUGCACGUCAACCAAAAUCAAGGGUGCACAGGUCAGUGUAAAUUAGUGUUUGGACUAACUGAAAUGGUGGCAUAUCUUUCUACAAACUGGGGAGAGAUCACACGAUUUGCUAUCAAUAUUUUUUGCUGUAGAUGAAGAAUAUUACAAUUGAAUUUUAUAAAUUGAAGGGGAUAUGACCAUUGUGAUUAAACUAUUUGGGGCCUUUUCAUUUGCUUGAACUUUUUUAGGUUAAAAAUUUAGUUGUUAACAUCUAGGACCCUCAUGCUUUCAAGAAUUUAACAAAAAAUAAUAAUAGAAAAAAAGGAACCUUCACUACACCUUGUUCUGUUUUAUUGUAACUAGUUUUUGCUGUUAUCUGUUUGUCCAAUUUGGUGGAUUAGUUUGCUAAACUUGGGUGCGUCUACUGAAAUUUGUUAUUUUCUGUUGAGAAUUUAAUUCAACAUCUAAUUUGGAUUUCCUUCUCAAUAGAGGUAAGGAUUAUGCACAGCUUAUAGAUUCUCUUAUUCUGAAUAACGAACAAUCUUGGUUUUGGGUAUAGAAUGUGAGUUUGACUAGUGGUUACCUUUUAACAGAAGGAUGUAUAAAUUUAAAGGCAGCGGAAGGUGUUAUCACAACAGCACUUCUCCUCCUUGCAUAGGUUGGGUGGAAAUGAUGGCACCUGUCUUCUCAAAGGCUGCUUGGCGAUGUGUAUGGUAUAUGAUCCAGAAUGACUUG
rnacentral:misc_RNA from 1 species